rnacentral:rRNA from 1 species
GACGAACGCUGGCGGCGUGCCUAAUACAUGCAAGUUGAGCGAUGAAGAUUGGUGCUUGCACCAAUUUGAAGAGCAGCGAACGGGUGAGUAACGCGUGGGGAAUCUGCCUUUGAGCGGGGGACAACAUUUGGAAACGAAUGCUAAUACCGCAUAAUAACUUUAAACAUAAAUUUUAAGUUUGAAAGAUGCAAUUGCAUCACUCAAAGAUGAUCCCGCGUUGUAUUAGCUAGUUGGUGAGGUAAAGGCUCACCAAGGCGAUGAUACAUAGCCGACCUGAGAGGGUGAUCGGCCACAUUGGGACUGAGACACGGCCCAAACUCCUACGGGAGGCAGCAGUAGGGAAUCUUCGGCAAUGGACGAAAGUCUGACCGAGCAACGCCGCGUGAGUGAAGAAGGUUUUCGGAUCGUAAAACUCUGUUGGUAGAGAAGAACGUUGGUGAGAGUGGAAAGCUCAUCAAGUGACGGUAACUACCCAGAAAGGGACGGCUAACUACGUG